GUGCUCAUUUUGGCAGCACACAGACCAAAAUUGGCAGGAUACAGAGAAGAUCAGCACAGCCCCUGUGCAAGGAUGACACACACAUUUGUGAAGCCUUCCAUAUUUAA